AUUGAACGCUGGCGGCAGGCCUAACACAUGCAAGUCGAGCGGAUGAAGGGAGCUUGCUCCUGGAUUCAGCGGCGGACGGGUGAGUAAUGCCUAGGAAUCUGCCUGGUAGUGGGGGAUAACGUCCGGAAACGGGCGCUAAUACCGCAUACGUCCUGAGGGAGAAAGUGGGGGAUCUUCGGACCUCACGCUAUCAGAUGAGCCUAGGUCGGAUUAGCUAGUUGGUGGGGUAAAGGCCUACCAAGGCGACGAUCCGUAACUGGUCUGAGAGGAUGACCAGUCACACUGGAACUGAGACGCGGUCCAGACUCCUACGGGAGGCAGCAGUGGGGAAUAUUGGACAAUGGGCGAAAGCCUGAUCCAGCCAUGCCGCGUGUGUGAAGAAGGUCUUCGGAUUGUAAAGCACUUUAAGUUGGGAGGAAGGGCAGUAAGUUAAUACCUUGCUGUUUUGACGUUACCAACAGAAUAAGCACCGGCUAACUUCGUG
rnacentral:rRNA from 1 species